rnacentral:rRNA from 1 species
GUGUCAGCAGCCGCGGUAAUACGAAGGGGGCUAGCGUUGUUCGGAAUUACUGGGCGUAAAGCGCACGUAGGCGGAUUGUUAAGUCAGAGGUGAAAUCCCGGAGCUCAACUUCGGAACUGCCUUUGAUACUGGCAAUCUAGAGUCCGGAAGAGGUUAGUGGAAUUCCCAGUGUAGAGGUGAAAUUCGUAGAUAUUGGGAAGAACACCAGUGGCGAAGGCGGCUAACUGGUCCGGUACUGACGCUGAGGUGCGAAAGCGUGGGGAGCAAACAGGAUUAGAAACCCCAGUAGUCC